CCUACGGGAGGCAGCAGUGCGGAAUAUUGCACAAUGGGGUAAACCCUGAUGCAGCGACGCCGCGUGAGCGAUGAAUUAUUUCUGUAUGUAAAGCUCUAUCAGCAGGGAAGAAAAUGACGGUACCUGACUAAGAAGCCCCGGCUAACUACGUGCCAGCAGCCGCGGUAAUACGUAGGGGGCAAGCGUUAUUCGGAUUUACUGGGUGUAAAUGGAGCGUAGACGGUCCUGCAAGCCAAAUGGGAAAGCCGGGGGCUCAACCCCGGGACUGCAUUUGGAACUGUAAGGCUAGAGUGGGGGAGAGGCAGGCGGAAUUCCUAGUGUAGCGGUGAAAUGCAUAGAUAUUAGGAGGAACACCAGUGGCGAAGGCGGCCUGCUGGAGGAUGACUGACGUUGAGGCUCGAAAGCGUGGGGAGCAAACAGGAUUAGAUACCCCUGUAGUC
rnacentral:rRNA from 1 species